CACCCCCCCAAACGAACAUAUGACGUUUCUCGUGGAAAAAAUCGAUAUGUGAGGCUUCCCUAAGUUAAGAUGUGCAAAAUUAAUCUAAUACGCGGACGUGAGGAAAAAACUGAGUUAUUAGGUUUUACUUUACAGUUUAAAUUCGUUUUUCAUCUGUAUCUGUACUUGUUCACAAAAGGCAUAUAUAGUUUUUACUCGUGAAUUUAGCGUGUGUUUAUCAUGAUGUAUUGUCACGACCGUGUACUAGAUUUACCACAUCUUAAAGUCCCGCAGCCUAAUCAUCUUCAGUGAAUUUCCGCAUAUAGGGCCCCGGAUCAUAUUUACCAGAGCAGAGGAGCUUGGCUUCAAAAACACAGUUGGAGUUAUCGCUCCAGUUAUUAUAGAGUUUACUGAGCCAAAACAGUCAUGAGCCCAUAGAAAUAAUAGACACAGAAUGGCGCGCUGAUGACGAAUCAUGUCUCCACUUUUUCACCGUGCGUGCCUUUUGAAUGCGCCAUUUUGAAUUUUGGCCUGGAGUCUAUGUCUAUUAUUUUUAUGGUGCAGCUGCACCCGAAUUUUUUAGUUGAUAUUUAAAAUUCGGGUUGAGACUGCACGCAGGUCAUGUGACCAUUUUCGAUUCUAUCGGUGUUCCGAAAAUCCGGAGUACUCCGAACAGUAACUGGAAAAGGCUGGGACAAUAUUAUAGAAAUAUUAGACCUAUUUUAUUAUUAAUUAUUAUUAAUAUUAGAUAUUAUUCUAUGGACAAUAUACAGAAAACGAGGCUGCGUCCUAAUUCAAAUUGCUUUUUAUGUUUAUUUUUGCAUGAAGCAGCCUUAGGCUUAGCAUUAAUCUUUUUGGCACCAGUAUACUUUUAUAUAUAUGUUCACAGUUGUUUAUAGAACAAUAAAGAUAAAGAAUAUCUGUAUGGUGACUCGUAUCUUACGUUAGAAACUUUGUGCUCCGCGAUGCAGACGCCGAUGCUUUUGCAAAUAGCAAAAAUUUAUUAACUUCGUAUUUAUUAACUUCGUAUUACAA